AUGGAAUAUAUUGGUUUGAGCAAUUUAAGUGAUCUGGUGACACGUGGAUUUUUCAGAGAAGAGAAAGAUGAUGGUCAUUGGUACUGCUGUUGUGAUUUGCCAAAAGACUUGACCAACCUUGCAAAGUUGUGCCGUUUUUAUACCCCAAGUGAGGAGGCGCGUAGUUUGUAUGACCUAAGUGAUGAGAUGCAUUCUCAAAUUUGUAAUGUGGAGAAACUCAGAUUCUUAGAAGAGUUAAAGGUAUUUAGAGUCAGCAAAGAAAGUGAAGGAUUUGAACCAAAGCAACUAGAGCAUUUGGCUGAACUAAGGGAGCUUGGCAUCUAUAACCUUGAGAAUAUAAACAAGGAAGAAGAAGCCACCAAAGCAAAUCUAGGAGAGAAAAACUACUUGGAGAGCUUAACAUUAAAUUGGUAUAUGGCUCAUAUCCCCUGGACUGAAACUCUGCGCAAUGUGAACAUAAGUGAUGUAAAGCUACUAGAAAAGUUUGAGUACUCAACAUCAUCCUACAGUGGAUUUGAAAUUGAAAUUAUUGGAAAGGAUGAUCUGGAGAGCUUAGAUCAGGUGCUAGCAUUCAGUAACCUGGCAGUUCUCGAGAAGCUGAGACUUAGCAAGUUCCCACCUAUGGAUUUGAAGCACCUUCUAAUGCUAACCUCAUUGAAGAAAUUGGUUGUAGAUUGUUUAGAUGGUGUUGUUGGGCGAGUAGGAGAUGCGUGUGAUGUGGAAUGGCAGCACCGUGUUGAGCAUCUGGUGGUCCAGAAAUCAAGUGGGGAGGAAUUAACAGAGCUCCUCACCCACCUCCCAACGCUCUCCAAUCUGGGAAUCUAUAGGUGUGAAAAGAUAACACAGCUGUCAGUGGAGAUGCCCCAACUCUCUGUUGGCUCUCCUUCAUGCCGCCCUUUCCCAUCCUUCCUGCAAAACCUCGAUAUUGUCGGUGUGGAAGGCAUGGGGACGUUGGAGCCACUCUCAAACCUCACCUCUCUCACCCGAUUAUAUUUGGCGGACUGCGGAGAGGAUCUAAGAUGCAAGGGCCUAGGGUCUAUCAUUACUGCAAGGGGACAACUCAGAGAAUUAGUCAUCUAUAGCUUCCCUAGAUUCUUUGCUGGAUGGGAUCCUCAUCCCAGGAAGGCGCAGCUGCAUGAUGGAGGAGAAGUGCAGGAUCUGCAACAGCUUGUUUCCCCACUAAGUUCAUCCAAAUUGCAGAAGCUUUGUUUUGAGUGGGCCACGGGACUCCUUGUUGCGCCCAUCUGCAGAUUCCUGUCUUCCUCCCUAACCUGCUUGUUCCUUUAUGGGGAGAAAAAGAUGGAGCGCUUUACCAAUGAGCAAGAGGUCGCCCUUCACCUCCUCACCUCCCUCCAAGAACUCGAGUUUCGGUUUUUCGAAAAGCUUCAGAGCCUCCCUGCAGGGCUGCACAAGCUUCCCAGUCUCAAGAAAUUACAGCUCUCUUCAUGUCCAGCCGUCCGGUCGCUGCCCAAGGAUGGCGUCCCCAAAUCACUACAAGAAUUAGAUGUCGGUUGGUGCAAAAACAAGGAGCUAAGACAAGAGUGCAGGGUGUUAGUGGGAACCAUCCCAAAAAUCAAAGUGCAUCCUUUGGACUGA
rnacentral:rRNA from 1 species